GCUUAAGUGUGCUCUGCAGGCUCAGUAAAAGAGCAGCAGUAAAACCUAAAGAAGAAUUUACACACAGAAGGCAGCAGCAAAAGAUAUGCUGAAUGCCUACUAUGAAUAAGCACAGUAACUUCAAGCUGAGUCACAUUGUUGUCCAGCAACAGUAAGACUGUGGAUUAAUACACUGUAGAGGUACUUUCUUGCAGUUCUGCAGUUAUUCUUACAAUAUGCAAGCAUGAUGCAACUUCCAUAACGUUUGAAGAUAAGGGCCUUACCUAAGAAGAAUGCCACGGUCUCAGAAAAAGAUGAGAGAAACAUGCUAGGUGCCACAUCUCCCAGGACUCUGCCAAUCUGCUUAUCAAGAGUUUCACCCUCAAGACGCUCAUCUCUCUGUUUUGAGAGAUAAUAAUAUAUUAAGUUCCACGAUUCCUGCUGCUUUUUCAGAUCAGUGAUGCAACUACCUCAGAAGUAAUACAUGCACAUCCUAGUGUGUCAGCUUGAGAUACUUCACAUCUAGUUUCUUGAGACUAGAAAUCCUCAAGCAGGCUCAAAGCAGACUGAACAUUCACAUGCUGAUCAGCAGGACAAGCAUGUUUCAGUUAGACUGCUCACAUUUGUCACUUCUGGAGUUGUCUGCUUUCAUUCUCAGCAUUGAUCUACUAGAAGGUCAGUUAAAAUAUCCUUACUUAGUUGAAGUUUAACAAAAAUCAAAGUUUCUCAAGAGUGCUUUUGAACAGUCAUGUCAAUGAGAAUGCAACUUUAGCACCAAAGACAGCAAGCAAGAAUGUACUGAAGAUUUUAACUGCAACACUGUUUUGUCACUUACCA